CAACUGAGGUUGACUUAAGUGUGUUUGACUUAAGUUUGUUUAUGUGAUCCAUCCAUCUCUUUGUUGUGUUUGGAUUUGUCUAGACCCUUCUCAGCCAACAAAUUAAUGAUCAAUCAAUUCAUAAAUUAUUUAAUGCAUUGAUCCACAGGCACCGAGGCUGAAGAACCGGAGGAGCAGCCCUAUACACCCACUACUGUAGACGCAGACAUAGCCGAGGAGGAGAAGAGGAGGAAGAUAAGAAUGAAGGACAAGAAAGGGAGAGGAAGACUAGAUCCAAGGCUAAGCAAUCCUUUAACAAUAAGUGUGGUAUGAUGGCCCACACCAAGCACUGUACCAUGUCCCAGGAGACCAUGCUGCAGUGCCCUGAGUAGCUGCCCACAUUGCGGGCACUACAGCUCCACCGCAACAAGGCACACCCAGAGUCCAAAGCCGCCAAGAAGAAAUGGCCACAGGUGUCCUGCAAUAUGUGUGGCAGGACCUUCGCUCACCCCUCGGACAUCUCAGAGCUCCAUGACUGUCAGAAAUGUCAUCUGACUUUUCCCUCGUUGGAUGACCACUGGAAGCACAUCCAGGAGUGCCACCCCAAGGAGUUCCACCAGUGUCCUGAGUGCAACAAGAUGUUCACCAACCCCGUCCUACUGGAGAAACACAUAGCUGUGCACGCUGGGGGAACACCAUACCGCUGCAAGCUUUGCCAGAAGUCCUGCCAGAAGUCCACACAUUGGCCUAUAGCACACACACCUUUAUUCUCAUGCUUUACUAUUAAAGGAUGAGUUGGUAAAGCCUUGUGCUUGCAACGCCAGGGUAGUGGGUUCGAUUCCCAGGAACACCCAUAUGUAAAAUGUAUGCACGCGUGACAAAGUUUCUUUGGAUAAAAGUGUCUGCUAAGUGGAAUAUAUUAUAUUACUUAUCAUAUCUUUCCACACACAACAAAUGUCAGGCCUGUGGUAUCAUAACCGUACCAGCCACCCAGAGGUGUUUGCAGGACAGACCCACCGACAGCUCUAGUCUCUGAUGCAGUGCAUGUUGUAAGUUCUUCCCUAGUGCCAGGAGCCUGGCCAAGCACCAGAGGAACCCAGGUGAGGACACCCACAGCUGGGGAGAGACCCAGGAAAGGCUUUCAGACCUAACCUACCCUGUCCAUGCUAUUACAUUACAACCACCCCCCCUUUUAUUUGCUUGGGUACCCAACUGACAUAAUAUCUUCUUAUUGUUGUUGUUGGUUUAGUGUUGUCCAUCCCUGUUAAGGAAUAUGCCAUUUGGGGUGUAUUAUGUAUUCCUUCCAAUCCCUUGUGUGUCCUAAAGGCAUGUUUGAUUCUGACGUGCUGCUGGUGGGGAAUCCAGACCUGCCAUCAGGAAAGAGCUGUGAUGUCUUACUGCUAUAUUCCUAACAUACAGUUCUAUCUGUCUGUGGCCGUGUCUGCUCUCUGUGCAUGUGUAUUGAGCUCUUCUCCCCUGUAUCCUCCCAGACUCAUCAGUGGUGAAGUGCCUGUAUUGUCCCAGCCUGUUCCCCCAGCGAGGCUGAGGUGCAGGAGCACGCCAGCACCGAGCAUUUCAGCCAAGAGGGGGCAGUGUUCAGCUGCUCUCUCUGCCAGCUGAAGCUCCAGGAGCACUUGCUCUCCUGCCACAUAGGGGAGCUAGAGGAGCAGGCCUCCAGCUCCCAGAUGGUGAUUGAGACAGAGGACACUGCUGGUGGGGCAGAACAAGUGAUCUCUAUGGACCAAUCCCAUCAGGUGUUUGUUGCCCUGGGAGACGGAGAGGAUGGUCUCUCAAGCACGGAGGUGAUGGUGGUUAACCUGGAGGACCUACUGAACGGAACCGUCACCUUUAUAUGUGGAGGUGACCUCUGACCCCUAGUCUCUACUUCCUGGAGAAGGAGGAACUGUCCUAGCAAUAGUGGCAGCUUGGAAUGAAUGAAACAAACUUGACACUGGCAAUGCCACUGGUUUUGUAUCCUGUAAUAGCUGUAAAUAUUGAGAUGGUGUGUACGCUUAUACACUAAGUGACAAAGCGUAACCUUUGAACCCUCAGGAUUGGUGUCUUUUUAUUAAUAAUCACUCUGUUAUUGCCCUGUGUAGAGCUGUGUAUGAAUCUUUAGUAUUUAUUUCCUUUUGAACUGGCGUGUGAAGCCUUGCUGUAUGAGUGUUGUACACGG